GGCAGAAUGAAAUUUGGUGCAGAUCUUUCAGGUGGACAAAAAAAGAAAAAAGAAGCCUCAUGUUGAUGUUCAGACUUCCACAAUUCAGUGGUCCCUGGAUAUGUUGCCUGAUGAAUUUGAAAAGGGCCAGUUUGACCUAAAACUAUACUGAGCACCAAUGACUAGGGGUUGAUCUACACUUCCUCCUACUGAUGCCAGCAUGAGGACGUGCCACUUACCAUUGUGGGAGAGCAGAAAUGAGUGAUGUCAUCCUCAAUCUACUCCAAGUUGACUGGGAGAGUAACUACUGCCCAGAUUUUUUAGUUCCAUUUGAAAGGGGAUAAACGCAAGAAACAAGAACCGCACAGAUUUCAGAAAGACAGGUUUACUGCUAGUCAAGCCAAUGACGUUCUCCUCCUUCAUCUAAUACUCCCAGUGACUUAUAACUGCUAACCCAUAAAGUAAGAAGCUGGAGUCCAAAAUCAUCUCCUAGAACAGUGGUUCGCAACCUUUUUAAUGCCGUGACCCCCAACCGGUCGUAAGUCGAGGACUACUCAACCGGUCGUAAGUUGAGGACUACUCAACUGG